rnacentral:rRNA from 1 species
GACGAACGCUGGCGGCGUGCUUAACACAUGCGAGUCGAACGGAAAGGCCCUGCUUUUGUGGGGUGCUCGAGUGGCGAUCGGGUGAGUAACACGUGAGUAACCUGCCCUUGACUUUGGGAUAACUUCAGGAAACUGGGGCUAAUACCGGAUAGGAGCUCCUGCUGCAUGGUGGGGGUUGGAAAGUUUCGGCGGUUGGGGAUGGACUCGCGGCUUAUCAGCUUGUUGGUGGGGUAGUGGCUUACCAAGGCUUUGACGGGUAGCCGGCCUGAGAGGGUGACCGGCCACAUUGGGACUGAGAUACGGCCCAGACUCCUACGGGAGGCAGCAGUGGGGAAUAUUGCACAAUGGGCGGAAGCCUGAUGCAGCAACGCCGCGUGCGGGAUGACGGCCUUCGGGUUGUAAACCGCUUUCGCCUGUGACGAAGCGUGAGUGACGGUAAUGGGUAAAGAAGCACCGGCUAACUACGUG